rnacentral:lncRNA from 1 species
CUCCCUCUAAAAGUAAAUUUCGUCUUCAAUUUUUUUUUGCUUAAGUUCUCAAAAAUUCAGAUUAUUUUUAUCAUAAUUAUUUUUUAAUUUUAAAAUUGAAUCUUUCAGCAUGGUAUCUUUCAGAUCAAAUUUUUACUUUGAUCAAUCUGAGAAUAAUUCAGACUACUAUGCUUCCGCUGUGUAUUUUAAUUCAAAUCUAAUAAUGUACUUGUGUCAAUUUUAAGUUCCUAGAUUAUGUCAUAAUCAGUAUAAGUCAUUGUCUCAAUGUCUAGAGUAUCUACCUAUCUACACUCAUGUCUGAUUCUGUGUAUUAUAAUUUAUCCACUUAUGCUCUGAUACUAUAUUAAUUGUCAUACCCCUGAUCCG